rnacentral:snRNA from 1 species
CUACUUCACCUGGCAGAUAAAGUACCAACAGCACAUAGGUGGUUUUCCCCUGGGAGGUUAACUGUAGCCCUAGUAUGCGCUGACCCCUUUGACUUUCCCCAUAGUGGGAAACUUGACUGAGUACUACAUAGUAGUGGGAAACUGAGUUCCUGCACCUACCCU